GAUUCCAUAAGACUUUCCUAUCCAAUCCAUCUCUUAUGAAACCGAAACUGUCCUUUCCGUCUGGUCACUUUGUCCUCUAGAAAGGCCACUACAGGUCGGUGGUCAGAUCCUACCAUCCCUAGAUAUUCAAUAUAGGAACAAGGGAAUAGAGUAUGCCAAUCUUCAUUUGCCAGAGCGCGAUCUAGGCGGCAUCAGACCGUCACCGCCCCUUUCCCUUUCCCCCGCCGUCCUUGCCAGGACAUUUUAUUUUCCCGAGCCGGGAACUCUAAUAAUCCACUGUCUCUGAUCAUAUUGUUAAAAGGAAUAAACGAGUAUGCACUUCUUAGAGAUCCCCCCUC
rnacentral:lncRNA from 1 species